rnacentral:rRNA from 1 species
UUCCGGUUGAUCCUGCCGGAGGCGACCGCUUUGGGAGUUCGAUUAAGCCAUGCGAGUCGUGAGUCUUAGGGACUCGGCAUACUGCUCAGUAACACGUGGAUAACCUGCCCUAUCGUCUGGAAUAACCUCGGGAAACUGAGAAUAAGGCCGGAUAGUUCACAAUGCCUGGAACGGUUUGUGAAUCAAGGUAGGAUGGGUCUGCGGCGUAUCAGGUUGUAGGGGGUGUAAAGGACCCCCUAGCCUUCGACGCGUACGGGUGUUGGGAGACAUAGCCCGGAGAUGGAUUCUGAGACACGAAUCCAGACCCUACGGGGUGCAGCAGGCGCGAAAACUUCACACUGCAGGAAACUGUGAUGAGGGAACUCCUAGUGCAUGCACUAUGUGUAUGUAGAUCCUACUCUUAACAAGUAGAGGGAAAGGGCUGGGAAAGACCGGUGCCAGCCGCCGCGGUAAUACCGGCAGCUCAAGUGGUCGUCGCUUUUAUUGGGCCUAAAACGUCCGUAGCCUGUUUGGUAAAUCUGUGGGUAAAUCAAUCCGCUCAACGGAUUGAAUUCUGCAGAGACUGCCAGACUAGGGACCGGGAGAGGUGUGGGGUACUCGAGGGGUAGGGGUAAAAUCCUGUCAUCCUUCGAGGACCACCAGUUGCGAAGGCGCCACACUGGAACGGAUCCGACGGUCAGGGACGAAGCCUAGGGGCACGAACCGGAUUAGAUACCCGGGUAGUCCUAGGUGUAAACGCUGUGAACUUGGUGUCGGGGGUCCGCAAGGGGUCCCCGGUGCCGGAGUGAAGAUGUUAAGUUCACUGCCUGGGGAGUACGGUCGCAAGGCCGAAACUUAAAGGAAUUGGCGGGGCAGCAC